UCUGUGUAUAGUCUAUGGUGAUUAAUCGAAUACGGACGUAUAGUGUCUUGCCGUGGUUGCAUCGAAAUCUCUGAAAAUAAUAUUCGUGGUUUGGUUUAUUUUCUGCGAGGGAAAUCGUACUCUCUGUUGACGCAUAGUCAGAUAACUAACAAAUAUGUCUCACACUAUUCUAUUGGUACAACCUGGCCCCAUGCCACACACAAGGACGUACUCCGAUUAUGAAAGCGUCAAUGAAUGUAUGGAAGGAGUCUGCAAAAUCUACGAGGAACAUCUCAAGAAGCGAAAUCCCAAUACACCUACAAUAACCUACGACAUAAGUCAAUUAUUCGACUUCGUGGACCGAUUGACCGACUUGUCUUGUUUGGUCUAUCAGAAAUCGACGAACACCUACGCUCCUUACAAUAAGGAUUGGAUCAAAGAAAAGAUAUACGACCUUCUUAGACGAGCAGCUUCUGGGAGAAAUGAACUAUCUCAAGAUAAAUAAAUCACCCAUCGCAAGAUGAGUUAACAUUAAGUACACUACUGUUUAUAAUAUUAACAAAUAAGAGAGGAGUUCAAUAUUUUUCUUCAACUUGGCCCUCCACUUUAAUUUACACAUAACAUAUGCUUCUUUAACGCCAUGGAUAAUAACUCUAAUCGUAAGAUUGCCUCCUAAAAAUUCUAUCGCCCGAUACGAGAAGGUUUGCAGUCGAGUAAAUUUUUUUCUUUCCAAACGGACUUACCUACAACAAAGAUCUUCAAAAAUCACUUCCUUAGCAUAAAACAAUAAUUUUCUUUUAGACUUUCAAUGUCUUACAAAAUCGGGAAUUCUCAUUUGAACGAUUAUGGGCAUUCAAUUUUGAAACCAAAUUUAGUUUAAUAUUAAAUUAACUGUUUUCCUAGAUUGUUUCACUCACUAUUGCAUAGUUGCUACGCUACAUUAGCAAUAAGAGAUCACUCUUUAUUUGUAUUUACGUACGACAUAUUGGUAAUAUAAUGUAAGAAAAAAAACAUUGUGUAACAAUUAUGCCUUCGUUCGAUAAACAAAAUGGUGUUUUUUUAGAACGAUCAUAUAUACAGAGAUGAGAUGGGAGAUUGCUCACGGGCAGGGUCGCGCGAUUGUGUCCCGUGCUGCACCCUGUGUGUUGAGGCGGGCGGCUAACGUACACUACUGGACAUGAAUGCUUUCUGAUCACACCUUAGCGGCACCAUGUCUGUAGGGAAAGCAUUCAUGUCCCCCCCCAGUGUACUUGCCACCUGUUACACCUCAGUGGCAGCGCAACUCAUUUCGACCAUAAAUGAGUUACCCUUAUAUAUCGCGCUCCAGCUCCCGGAUUGGGCGAUAAUUGUUUUAUAAACAUAAAAGAUUUAUAUUCACCUAAUAAGUCUUGAGACGACUACACUACGAUCUACGGGGAUUCUACGAAGAGCUAUCAAUAAUACAUACCGAGUACACUCACCGUGUACGUUAAAAAUAAUAGACUAUAUUCAUAUAAUCUUUUUGUUCAUACAUAUUUUGGCCUCUAUAAUCGUGCCUUAGACGCAGGCUUUCUUACAACCAUCAGAUUCCAGUAACGAUGGAAAUUCAGGUCCACUUAAAAUCAGGAUAAGAGAGUAAAAAUCCUGAAACCAGGGACUCUCCUUAUUGUAAAGUAUACCCUUUCCUAUGGCUAUUAUUUAACAAGUGUUUGACACUUCUUAGCUGUUCUAAUGUAACAUUUCAGCUGCUUAUUCGUGAGAGAAAUGGAUAACGAGUACCUAUGGAGAGAGCAGCACAGAUCUACUCCUUAUCGUUACGAAACAAUUAUUCCUUCCUGCCACUGCAAAUAAGAGUUUAUAAGGUAUAUCUUUUGUUUAACUUCUUGAUACGAAGCACAAGUGAGAUAUGUAUGUAAAGAAAAGAAGAGAAGCGGUUAUAUUAAUUAAAACGAGUGCCAGAAUGCAAUCAAGGGUGAUGUACAUUAGACUUUCAACGAACGUGGCAUAUAUCCGUUUAAAAGAGUGACCAUUCGAUGCCUUAUAAACCAACAUUAACCGCAUUACAAUGUAAUGACACCCAACCGCACUCUUGUGCAACAAUAAUUAAUCCGAAGUCUCACCCUAACAUUUAUUGAUCUUCCCUUCGAGUGUGAAUCAUCGGUGUACUUUUAUUUAUAAUAUACUUCCCUUAUCUACACGAGCAAAUCGAAUAGAGAUUCUUUGUGUCUAGCUCUAGGUAUCAGGUAAAUAUCUUUACAGUAAUCCGUAAAGCUAAGCGAUUUACGCGUCAAUUUAAAAUUACAAAUAUGAACCUAGGUGCACCGUAUAUGUAAGUCAGAGGUGUCGCGACGAUACACGUCCAAAGUGAUCUUAUGUUAUCGAGUUACAAUAUCGCUUUGAAAAAAUUAACGUUACACGUGAAUACAAAUUGUACCGUUUGUACUGAACACAUCUUCUAGAAACGAAGGAGUCCUCUCACGACGAACACACAGAGUGAGCUUAACAGUCCGAUCAGAGUGCUAAUGUAAAAUUAGCAUUACAGAGUCAUAUUCGUAUAGUCGACCUUCCUUUACAAUUAACCUACAAACACAUGCGAAGAGAAGUGCGUGUACCAUGAAGUAGCAUAAGAAACUCCCACCCUAUGGGCUUAUUGGAAAAUUCUAACCUUGUUUCCUCGCCAAGUUAAUCGAUGGCUAACUUACGAGUUACUUUUAUAUGACAGUGGGAGUUUAUUAUAAUACUUCACGGCGUGUACCCAUACUUUGGUUCCUUGUUACAUCACAUAGUAUUCGGGGAUCCUUCAUUGACUUGUCUAUUUAUUUAUUUUUUUCUUUGUAAUCAGUUUAUCACUUUACGUCAAUUUUCCACCUGUAGACGAAUCGAAUGCGCAAACUCCGCGAGCAAUCGUAUGUAGAGUACUAAAUGCGAUAUAUCACGUCAAAAAGGAUGACAAAUUGAGAUUUUUCAAUGAAUGAGAAUUUUUCGAACACUAGUGGCACUUGUCGUGUAUGUUGUACAAGUUAUGUUGAUCAACGAGGAUCGUUGGCAAGUCAGUUAACCUCUUUUCGACCGGCACUCAAUUUCUCACCCUCCCACCUCUCUUUACUUCCGUUAUCCGUAACCCUCCGCCUUUACAAUUUAAAUUUCGAACAGCUUAAAAAUAGUGAUAAUAUAGUUGUAAAAAAAUGUACACUCAACUAGACCACCGUUUGGUACAAACUUUACAGGUUUAAAAUACAGCCUUCUCGCGACGGUCCCCCGCAAAGAUUCGUAUAUAAAAGUUCUUUGUAGCGGGCCUCAGCACUCACAAUUUCCCCUAAACAUUUGUUUUCUGUACAUCGGUGUGCAAAGAGAUCCUCAUCCACAGUAACAUAGCCCAACGCAUUCGUUUUCCCUCGAUCGAAUUAAAACACACUGUAUCAUAACCUAGUAAAGUGGUACGAAAGUAGCAUCUAAGGAGUCCGUCAUUUGCACAAAUUUUCUGCAAGCCAGGUGUACCAAAUCGUUUGAAAUUUUACCACUUGAAUGUGUAGGCUCUAAGGAAGGUCCCAACACCCAUGAAAUUGCAUGAUUUAUAUGAAUUAAAAAACUGAUUAAAUAAAUUAACACCCCUUAGAUGCUACCUUCACAUCCCUUUAACUGCGAUGAGUUGAUCCGUCAUUUGAACGACUAACUAUCGUUAACUCGUCUUUCUAAAUGUAUGAUUCACCCAGGGUACAUAUUUUGUUCGAAAAUGUCCCAGGCAAUGAGUUAACCGUGUCCAUUGACAUGCAUACAAAUUUUUAAACACUCUCACGAUAAGCUGCCCCCCCUUUUUUGUCUAUUCUCCAUUUUAAAGUGUCAAUGUCGCACUAGAGCACCUCGCCGAGACUUUCUAUCAUCGAAAGCUUUCAAGUUUACCUCCUAACGCGCUUGCCUGAUUAUUGUAUAUAAUUAUAUAUAAUUAAUUAAAGUGCGCCGUGCUUUCAGCACGAAUCGCAAACCCCUGUAACGAACUGAGUUCCAAAUGCGUUAAAAUUUACGUUAGACUAAUUGCACGUCAAAAGAUGCGUUUAGAAGUGAUUAUUCCCUAAGUGGACUAACUAAGGAGCCUCGCUAACGAACUCACGAAAAUAUCCACAGUCUGGAUAUAAAUAUAAAUACUUUUAUAUAAAUUCAACAUCAUAGCGUGGUAUAUAUGUAUACAUAUAUAUAUAAUAUAUAUAUAAUUUGUAUAGUAGACAUAGGAAUUAAUUAUAACUAAAUUAGUUAGACUAUCGAUAAGAGACCAGCACUGAUUGUACACCACGUAACGUCAAUUUAAAGCAAGCAAAGGCAUUUGGCAAAUUAAACAAACGGCAUUAUAAUUUAUAGCCUCGUGUAAUAGUAACUUAAUGGUACAAAAAAAUAUCGAUUCGCUGGAUUAAUUUAUCUUGAAUGAGGUUACUUAAGGAAAAUUUCUCUCUAUUAAACACAUAUAUAGUCAUUAAGAUCUACGAUGGACCUUAAUGUAUGACUAUAAUUAAAUUAAUUUCGGUGUUUGCUAAGGAAAAAUGUUCGUCAAGUUAUCUCGUCCAGGUAUAAUGAGCAUUAAUUCAAUGUGAAUAAAGAUCUUAUUAAAACA
rnacentral:misc_RNA from 1 species